AGAGUGAACGCUGGCGGCGGCCUAACACAUGCAAGUCGAACGGCAGCACAGUAAGAGCUUGCUCUUAUGGGUGGCGAGUGGCGGACGGGUGAGGAAUACAUCGGAAUCUGCCUAUUUGUGGGGGAUAACGUAGGGAAACUUACGCUAAUACCGCAUACGACCUACGGGUGAAAGCGGAGGACCUUCGGGCUUCGCGCAGAUAGAUGAGCCGAUGUCGGAUUAGCUAGUUGGUGGGGUAAAGGCCCACCAAGGCGACGAUCCGUAGCUGGUCUGAGAGGAUGACCAGCCACACUGGAACUGAGACACGGUCCAGACU
rnacentral:rRNA from 1 species